rnacentral:rRNA from 1 species
UACGGGGGGGGCAAGCGUUGUUCGGAAUUACUGGGCGUAAAGGGCGUGUAGGCGGCCAACUAAGUCCGACGUGAAAUCCCUAGGCUUAACCUAGGAACUGCGUCGGAUACUGGAUGGCUUGAAUCCGGGAGAGGGAUGCGGAAUUCCAGGUGUAGCGGUGAAAUGCGUAGAUAUCUGGAGGAACACCGGUGGCGAAGGCGGCAUCCUGGACCGGUAUUGACGCUGAAGCGCGAAAGCCAGGGGAGCCAA